AUCUGCUGACAAGGCAUUUAAUUAUUCGCGGGGUGACCUCUUUGUUUGUCUGUAUAUUAUAAACAAUACGUGUAAAUUAUCAAGUUAGAAAUUGGAACAUACCAUUAUUUGAUCUUAUUCUAUAUAAUUCUUUGUAACAAACAUAUAUCUCUGUUAUUUUGUGAAAGAGCUUGGUAGCAAUCGAAGAUGAGUGAGCCACCAAAAUACGCAUAUCCCUACCCAGCUCAAGGUUAUUAUCAAGGUCCUCCAGUGAUGCCGCCGCCACCUCAAUAUUAUGCAGCUCCUCCCCCUAGAAGGGAACCUGGCUUUCUUGAGGGAUGUCUAGCAGCUCUGUGUUGCUGUUUCCUGAUUGAUGAGUGUUGCUGCGACCCUUCCGUCCUCUUCAUCUGUUGAUCAUUGAUCUGUUCAAGUGUCUUGUUUUUAUAUACUAUUAAUAUUGUAGUACUAUUAUCAAAUGUAACUCAGUUUAAUUUCUUUGCUUCUUAAUUAAUAGUUGAUCAAUGUAAUCAGCCUGUUUUCGUGGAGAGCAGAUAUCUGUCUAUGUAAUUAUCUUUACAAUUAGAGAUCAGUACUCCCUGCGUAAA